rnacentral:rRNA from 2 species
UGGGGAAUAUUGGACAAUGGGGGCAACCCUGAUCCAGCCAUGCCGCGUGUGUGAAGAAGGCCUUAGGGUUGUAAAGCACUUUCAGUGAGGAGGAAAAGUUAGUGGUUAAUACCCACUAGCCGUGACGUUACUCACAGAAGAAGCACCGGCAAACUCCGUGCCAGCAGCCGCGGUAAUACGGAGGGUGCGAGCGUUAAUCGGAAUUACUGGGCGUAAAGCGCGCGUAGGCGGUUUGUUAAGCCGGUUGUGAAAGCCCUAGGCUCAACCUAGGAACUGCACCCGGAACUGGCAAGCUAGAGUACAGUAGAGGAAGGUGGAAUUCCACGUGUAGCGGUGAAAUGCGUAGAUAUGUGGAGGAACAUCAGUGGCGAAGGCGGCCUUCUGGACUGAUACUGACGCUGAGGUGCGAAAGCGUGGGGAGCAAACAGG